GACGAACGCUGGCGGCGUGCCUAAUACAUGCAAGUAGAACGCUGAAGAGAGGAGCUUGCCCUUCUUGGAUGAGUUGCGAACGGGUGAGUAACGCGUAGGUAACCUGCCUUGUAGCGGGGGAUAACUAUUGGAAACGAUAGCUAAUACCGCAUAACAAUGGAUGACCCAUGUCAUUUAUUUGAAAGGGGCAAAUGCUCCACUACAAGAUGGACCUGCGUUGUAUUAGCUAGUAGGUGAGGUAACGGCUCACCUAGGCGACGAUACAUAGCCGACCUGAGAGGGUGAUCGGCCACACUGGGACUGAGACACGGCCCAGACUCCUACGGGAGGCAGCAGUAGGGAAUCUUCGGCAAUGGGGGCAACCCUGACCGAGCAACGCCGCGUGAGUGAAGAAGGUUUUCGGAUCGUAAAGCUCUGUUGUAAGUCAAGAACGAGUGUGAGAGUGGAAAGUUCACACUGUGACGGUAGCUUACCAGAAAGGGACGGCUAACUACGUGCCAGCAGCCGCGGUAAUACGUAGGUCCCGAGCGUUGUCCGGAUUUAUUGGGCGUAAAGCGAGCGCAGGCGGUUUGAUAAGUCUGAAGUUAAAGGCUGUGGCUCAACCAUAGUUCGCUUUGGAAACUGUCAAACUUGAGUGCAGAAGGGGAGAGUGGAAUUCCAUGUGUAGCGGUGAAAUGCGUAGAUAUAUGGAGGAACACCGGUGGCGAAAGCGGCUCUCUGGUCUGUAACUGACGCUGAGGCUCGAAAGCGUGGGGAGCGAACAGG
rnacentral:rRNA from 1 species